UACAGAGGUCUCAAGCGUUGUUCGGAUUCAUUGGGCGUAAAGGGUGCGUAGGCGGCGCGGUAAGUCGGGUGUGAAAUCUCGGAGCUUAACUUCGAAACUGCAUUCGAUACUGCCGUGCUUGAGGACUGGAGAGGAGACUGGAAUUUACGGUGUAGCGGUGAAAUGCGUAGAGAUCAUGAGGAAGACCAGUGGCGAAGGCGGGUCUCUGGACAGUUCCUGACACUGAGGCACGAAGGCCAGGGGAGCAAACGGG
rnacentral:rRNA from 1 species